UACGUAGGGGGCAAGCGUUGUCCGGAAUUACUGGGCGUAAAGCGCACGCAGGCGGAAUUGUAAGUCCGUUGUAAAAUUCAGAGGCUCAACCUCUGUCUGUCGGCGGAUACUGCAAAUCUAGAGUAUGUGAGAGGGAAGUGGAAUUCCUGGUGUAGCGGUGAAAUGCGUAGAUAUCAGGAGGAACUCCGGUGGCGAAGGCGACUUCCUGGCACAAGACUGACGCUCAUGUGCGAAAGCUAGGGUAGCGAACGGGAUUAGAUA
rnacentral:rRNA from 1 species